rnacentral:rRNA from 1 species
GAUGAACGCUGGCGGCGUGCCUAAUACAUGCAAGUCGAGCGAACGGACGAGAAGCUUGCUGUUCUGAUGUUAGCGGCGGACGGGUGAGUAGCAAGUGGAUAACAUACUUAUAAGACUGGGAUAACUUCGGGAAAACGGAGCUAAUACCGGAUAAUAUUUUGAACCGCUUGGUUCAAAAGUGAAAGACGGUCUUGCUGUCACUUAUAGAUGGAUCCGCGCUGCAUUAGCUAGUUGGUAAGGUAACGGCUUACCAAGGCGACGAUGGAUAGCCGACCUGAGAGGAGGAUGGACCACCAGAGUGCAGAGACACGAUGGAGAUGCCUACGGUAGGAGGCAGCAGUGGGUGAUACUGCACAGUCGGAGGAAGGACGGAGCAACGCCGCGUGAUUGAGGAAGGUCUGCGGCGGGUAAAAUACUGCUAUUAGGGAUGAACAAGUGCGUAAGUGUGUGUGCACGUCUUGACGGUACCUAAUCAGGAAGCCACGGCUAACUACGUG